CCCUUAGAUGUUCUGGGCCGCACGCGUGCUACACUGAGUGGAUCAGCGGGUCAGGUUGCGCGAAAGCGUUUCCUAAUCUUUAAAUCCGCUCGUGAUGGGGAUUGACGGUUGCAAUUUUCUGUCAUGAACGAGGAAUACCUUGUAAGCGCGGGUCAUCAUCCCGCGCUGAAUACGUCCCUGCCCUUUGUACACACCGCCCGUCGCUCCUACCGAUUGAGUGGUCCGGUGAGGCUUUGGGAUCUGAGCGGAAAGAGCGUUUCGCUGUUUCUGCUCGGAAAACUCAGUCGAACCGUAUCAUUUAGAGGAAGGAGAAGUCGUAACA
rnacentral:rRNA from 1 species